ensembl:lncRNA LINC02199 long intergenic non-protein coding RNA 2199
GUCGAAGGGGCCCGAGGCCCCGAGAAGGGCAGGAUGCGAUGCUGGGUGUGUGACCUCAGCCAUGGAAGGGCCACCUGCCACCGGGGGGCUGGGCCGUCGGGCCUUUGGUUGUGGAGGGAAAAGAGUGGCCACUUGCUGGAGCUGGGAACGUGCAGUGAUGAGCACUAGGACAAGAGGACCGUGACAAACAGACAUAGAAGGACAGCAUUGAGUUCAUUGCCUCAAAAUUGCUGCGCUCUCCUUCUGCCAGUGCCCAGAGAUGCUCCCCACACCACACUGCACUGCUGGGGGAUGUUAGAGGUGAUUCAAGACAGUUUUUCCUACCUCUUCAGUGCCUCUUUCAGCAAUAUGAAGUUAAAACCAGCCACACACUAUCUCAUGGCAGAAGACACCACUUAACCCAGGCAUCCCACAUGGAGGCUGUAUGUACUGGCAGAUUUUUAAUGACCAGGACCACUAUGGAUCAUAGAACAACUUGGAAGCUAGUUCUUUUUUUAAGCAUUGACAUCCAUCAAUCUUUCGCCUUUACCUAAUGCUGCAUUCAAAAGAAAUAUGUGGAGCAGCAGCAAAUUAAAGAAGACCAAAAUCUGAACCACUGCCAGGCUCUCUCCAUGGCCUCCUUUUCUUAUAGAGGUUGUCAGGGGAACAUUCAGCACAGCACGCCUGACUCCAGUGAACUCGGAGUUAAUGGACCCUGAAUGAGACUUCAGUACAUGAAGUACCUUCUAUCCUGGAAUAAGAUGAUGGACAUAUUAAUAGCACACAUACAGCUUUUGAGGCUGAAGAUUCAGGUCAAGUUAAUUGCUUUAAAAACCCAGUAAUUUAACCUACAGAAAAACAAUCACAUUGGUAAUAGCAGUCUUAAAUAUAGUUUUGUGUACUUUAAGACUUUAGUUAGUGUUUUUACACAAGAUGAGAGAAACUCAUGACAAAUACAAUGGCAGUGAAGAUUAAACAUCAGUAAAAGAAAAAGCACAUGCAAGAGAGAACAAAAAUGCUAAUAACCAAUUACAUCAGAUCCAGGAGAAAGUCAGCUAUAUAUUCUUGUUGAGAUUGAAACAAAAAUGUGAAGAUAAUGUAAUGGAGUUAAGAAGUGGUCAAUAGUUGAAUGCAUCCUAGGCCACUUAACAAAACCAGAAACUCUCAGCCGUAGGAGAAUGCAGAUGCCCUUUCUUUACCAAACAAGGGGAGAGCAAGGAAACAAGAAUGGAUCACAGGAUCUCAUCCUUAAAAAAGUACCCAUGGGAGAUGUGGACGUUCCUUGUCGGGAAACCAUCAGUACUAACUCUAUUUCAUGUACACAAAAUGAGAAUUUUGCCACAAACUUCUUGAACCGGAGAUAGUAGACAUAUUCAGCCUCUGGAUAGCCUACAUUAUAAAGAACAGAGAUUCAUCCCAUCUCCUUCUUUCCCCAACAAAAAUAUAAUCAUAUGAAAAGAAGUCAAGAGAACAAUUCUCCAACCUGAGAUUUCCUGUAUUUUUUAUUUUAUCUCCCUAUUGUUUCUUUUAUUUGUCGUUGUUUUCAUUCCAGUUUCAACCAGAGUCACAUUUGCUUCCUAAUCCAGUGCUUGUAAAUUUCUGUCUUCUUGGAUAAUUGUUGUUAAUAAUUGCUGUGGAUGAUUCUCUAACUUAGGAAGGUAUCUAGAUGAACCGUUUCUUUUUUCUGUGACCUGGUGCUGAAGGGCAUGUGUUGCCUGGGAAGUCAAUAAAAUGAGAUGAGCAUUAUAUCCUCAAUUGCUUUUCAAACAGUCCUUUGAUAUGCAACAGUCCUUUGCCCCUUUCUGAAUCAGCCCAUCCUCCAAGUGUUCCCAGGUCACAGCGCUGUCAGUACCCAUGGGACAGCAUAAAAGGAAGAGGUGUGUUACUUCUUUUCUUCCCUUGAAGUUUUUUUCUUUGGUUGGUUUAACCAUUAAAGAUAAGGUUUGAACUUAAUGAGCCUUUUAUUCGAUGUAAGUGAUGUUUCAUUUUUACAUGAUUCAUCUAGCCUCAGAUUAAUUAAGUAUAAUAUUUUCUAUUUAAUUACUGGGCAUAUUUAGGUAAUUAAUUUUUGAAGAGAAGAAGUGGUUUUGUGUAGGCUACUUUAUCUCAUUUUUUAAUUGACUGAAUUUUUUUUCUCUGUUAGACUGAAGAAUAUUCUAUAUAAUUUUCAUCAAUGAGUUACGAUAAUUUUCUGUAAAAAACUUUCACAAUAAGUUUUGUUCCAUGAGCAGGUGGCUCCAAAUCCUUCAUCAUUAACUCUGGUACCCUGCUUCCUUUCCCUCAAUUCAUUCCUAUGGCUUCUUGGGAAAUUCCUUAGAAGCAAUUGACUGAGAAAGUAGAGACUCAAGCCUGGUUUACAAAUGGUUCUGCAUAGUAUGCUGGUAACACUUGAAAGUCAGUAGGUAAAGCACUACCAGGCCACUCAAAGUCCUCUCUGAGAAUUGGAGGUGGCCCCUUUUCCCUCUGAGCCUCUACACAGCACCAGCCUUCAACCUGGAUGCCCAGAAGCUCUAAGACCUACUCUGGGUCUUCAGUGUUCUCAGGAGGCAUGGGAGGCAAGAGGUUUUUCCAGAGGCUUUGUAGGCAGAGCUCAUAGGCCCCUGAGAAAUUAUCCAGAGAGAAAGGAAAAGAGGCAGACUUGUAUGCUUACGAGGACACACGGGGUGAGGACACACGGGGUUCCCUCUAAGGACUUCCACAAAUAACUGGAGGCCCUUGAAGAAAAGACAGAUGCUCCAUCACUAACACAGAAGAAAGUUUUCAAUGCAAUGGCUGCCAACUGCAUCAUUAUUUCACAGAGCCAUGUCACUGCCCAAUAACUAUUUCCUAUGAUCUCUUGAUUGAGAUGUCUCACACCAUUCAUGCAGCUGGGCCACUCCCUCUCCUAAUUAAAUACAUACAUGUUCUCAGCAUCUUUCACAAUUCCAGGAUAGCUUUACUUCUAAAACCGACAAAGAUUGAAAAAAGGAAAAAUAAAAACAAAAAAACACAGAUAUUUUUCCCCUAGUACUGGUGAAGGUAUUUGGCAAUGAGAUGGAAAUAUAAACUGGAAUAAUGUUUCCAAAGAAUAAUUUAACCAUCAAAUCAAAAGCCUCAAGAGUGUGCCAGACAUUGGCCCUGUAACUUCAUUUAUGGGAAAUGUCUUAAGACAGACUUACAAAGAUUGUCAUCACAGCCUUGUUUGUAAUGAAAGACUCGGAAUCCACCUAACUUCCCACAAGCAAAAACUGGACAUUCCUGACAGGGAAACUUUGGAACCACUCAAUAUGAUGAAGAAUAUCCAACAAUUUGUUGCAUGGAACAAUGUCAUGUAGAAUGUUAAGAAAGGAAAAACAAGUUAAAGAGUAUUCAAUUUCAUAUUUAUAAAGAUAUGUAUAUAUGAGUAAUAAUAUAAACAUCCUCACUGGAAUAACACAUUCUGAAUAUCAAUUUGCCUUGUGAGCAGCACCAUGCAUAGACUUACAGAAUUCUUAUCCAUCAGCAUGGUAUUCUGCACAAUAAUGCUUCUGAUCUGCAACUUACUUCACAGCAAUAAGUACAGCAAUGGGCUUAUAUGCAUAGAAUUAACUGGUCUUAUCACAUUACCUGGAAGUAGAUGGCCUAAUUGCGCAGUGGGAUGGUUUACUAGGGACUCAGUUAUGGUACCAGUUUGAGCAGAAUGCUCAAAGAGAAUGACAUUCUGUAUUACAAGAUGUAGCAUAUUUUUUUGAAUUGGAGAUCACUAUAUGAUGUUUUCUCCCUCCAGAGGCAGAAUACUCGAGUCUAAGGAUCAAGGUGUAGAAGGUGGUCCAUCUCCUUUCAAAAUUAUUCCUAAUAGCCAACUUGCAAAAGCAUUGCUUUUUGUCCAAGAGAUCUACUGGUUUUGAGGUCUUGUUUCCUAAAGGGUGAGAAUUCACUGCAUUGGAAAAUGAGACUGCCAUCUGGACAUUUUGAUCUUUUUAUGCCAAGAGAGAGAAAAUGAAAUUACUCUGCCUGGUGGAGGAAUUGAUUCUUAUUAUUGAGGAAAAAAUCCAUUGCUGCUACCAACGGAGGGUAAGGAAGACUGUGUCUAGAACCCAUAAUGGUUCUCAGGGCUAAUGCUUAGUACUCCCCAUUCUCAACAUUAAAAGUUAAUGAAAAACUAUAGUAAUCAAAAUAGAAUUUUUGAGCAUCAAUACUAUACAGGAUUUGGGCCACUCCACUAGAAAAGGAACCCUGACCAGCUUUGGUUAUGGCUGAAGGAAAAGGGAAUGUGAAAUGAUUAGUAAAGGAGAAAAAAAACAAAAACAAAGAUAAACUACAACCAUGUUACCAGUUUCAAAACUGAGCAUUAUAGUUUAUUUGCAUAUUAUAUUAUUUGUAAUAAAAUAAAACUACAGUAAUCAAAAUGCACUUUUUGAGUAUCAGUACCGUAUAGGGAUGAGGAUUUGGGCCACUUCACUAGAAAGGGAACCUUGACCAGCUUUGGUUAUGGGUGAAGGAAAGGUGAAAUGUGAAAUGAUUAGUAAAAGAGAAAAAAAAGAGCUAUCAACUACAGCCUUGUUACCAAUUUCAAAACUGAGGAUUAUUGUUUAUUUGCAUAUUUAUAUUAUUUAUAUUUAAUAAACAUUUUCCUUCUUCAUUUUUAUUUUAUGUACAAGUUGUUUCAAAAUAACUUUAUAUAGUUUUUAGGUAGUAGAAUAUUUAAUGCUGCCGUAACUGAAUUUGACCAGUAAUUAAUAUAGCCAACAAAGGAAUCCAACAGACUGCUACAACUGUGUGCAUCUUCCUGAUAGAAAAAAAGGAUAGCUUAUUCAAUUAUAUGGAGGAUGGCUUCCCCUUUUUAGGUGGAAACACAGAGUCACAUUAUUGUACAGAAGUUCAAAAAUGUGUAGAAGGGUGCACUGGAAGCUGAGAGUCUAAAGGAACAGUCUGUAUCAUGUAACAGUUGAUUGCCCCUUGGCUCAAAGCUACAUUUUUUUCACUCUUCCUGGUUAUGCUAGACCUGUACCUGUGAACAUUUAUUAUUUGCCAGCUGACAGGAUAUUUAAGGACACUGAAGAGUCACUGCAAGAGGUAGAGUUUCAUCUUCUUCCCACAGCAUGGCUACCCGAGGCACACCACCUCUAGGGAAUUUCCCAUGUACCUCCGUAGUUAGUUUCCUACUGGCCAACCGUGUCCCACGGCACCUCAACACACUUCACUGAUCGUGAAUAGUGGUUUGUUGCUGUUGCUACUUGUUAUUUUGGGAGAGCUGGAUUGGGGCCCCCAGGUAUAUUCUCCUCAGUAAGGUUUGAAUCUCAGCCUUGGGGGUUGAAUGGAGAGGAUUUUCCACAACAAUUCCUUCCGUAGGUAUUUUCUCUCAUCCUUCAAUAUUCCACUUUCAGUCUUGCAUAGAACAACUAGACAGAAGAUCACUAAGAAAAUUGGAGGCUUGGACAAUACUACAAACCAACUAGGUGUAAUAAACAUCUAUAGAACACUCGCCCAACAUACUCUUCUCAAGCGUGCACGGAGCAGUCUGCAGGAAAGGUAAUGUUGUUUCAUGAACAAGAAAGACUCAACACAUUUUGAAGGACUGAAAUCAUACUUUUAAAAAAUUGAAAUCAUAUAUAGUAUGUUUUCUGAUCACACUGGCUUAAAAUUAAAAGUCAAUAACAAAAGGAGGUUUUGAA